AACUUUUAGCAAUGGAUCUCUUUGCUCUCUCAUCGAUGAAGAACGCAGCGAAAUGCGAUAAGUAAUGUGAAUUGCAGAAUUCAGUGAAUCAUCGAAUCUUUGAACGCACCUUGCGCUCCUUGGUAUUCCUAGGAGCAUGCCUGUUUGAGUGUCAUUAAUAUAUCAACCUUCUCUUGUUGAGUUGUUUGGAUGUGGGGGUUUGCUGGCCUCUUUAAAAGGUUUUUCAGCUCCCCUGAAAUGCAUUAGCAGAAACAGCCCUGUUCAUUGGUGUGAUAACUAUCUACGCUAUUGAAUGUGAAGGGCAGUUUGGCUUUCUAACGGUCCUUGGACAGCUCAUCAUUAAUGUGCCCUCAAAUCAGGUAGGACUACCCGCUGAACUUAAGCAUAUCAAUAAGCGGAGGCU
rnacentral:misc_RNA from 1 species